AAAAUCUUAUCUCUGGGUAUGAGAAAUGAUCAGAUCUAUAAAUUGGUAGCACUUUUGAUAUCUCUUGGGGGAAGGAUAAAGAGAAGUUUAAAAAGAAUCACUCGAGAUUUGGAUGUAGAAGAUGAAAGAGAGUAACCUAAGGAAUUGCAAGGAGGCCAGUGAAGCUAAGACAGAGUAAGCAAGAGUGGAAGAUGCACAUGAAAUCAGGGAGUGAGUCAAU